UUCUCUUCUCUUUUGUUUCAACUUUUUUUUCUUAAUCUCACAGACUUAUCGUUUCGUUCUUCCUAAUCUCACAGAUCUUGUCACUCUGAUCUCUUUCUUCAUCCCAACUAAACCUUGUCACUACCAGACCUCGUCUUCGUCUCCAAUCUCUUUGCGUAUGUGUUUUUAUUUAUUUGGGGAAAUUUCUGAUCUUUUAAAUAAAGCGGAGGAGGAUGAAGAAGCUUUAUGGUUGUAAUCUCAGCACCGACGCGGCAGACUCGUCUCUGGUCAAGCUCUGCGCUGGCUCCACCUCCACACCACCACCACAGAUUUGUCAAGGAGCAAGGGAAGAGAAGCAAUGGUGCGACAUAGCAGCGUCUCCGGCCAAGAGUGGUGCGGCGGUGGUGCAAGCCGGUGGUGGGGUGGUGGUCGUGCGGUGGAGAUGCGAGCAUCAUGGCGGCCGAGACUGAAGAAGAAUGUAGUUUGGUGUAUUAGGUUUAGUUAGGGUUAAUUAGUUAACUAAUUUGUAAUUGCAAACCAAUUUGUAUUGUAAACCAUUUUGAAAUUUUAAACCAAUAAGAAUGUAAACCAUGUAAACCAAAAUUUUUUUU